UCCAUAAAGGUAGCUAUCAACUUUCAUUCCCCUCUUCUCCAGCUGGCAGCAACCUUCAUAGCCUAGGGUUUAUGGAUUUUUAGUAAGAGAAGUUGAAGCUAGAGUGAGAAAGCUUCAAUAAGGACAUCGGUUUUCAAGCUUUAUUGAUGAAUUGGAAUACAUGGAACUUGAUUAAGUAUUGUAGAGCAUCAAUUAAGAAAGAAUGAAACCUUGAGAAGCCAUUGAUAAAGCUUCAACAUUUGGCCAACUUUAGCUUUAUGCAUGGUAAUCCCCACAUAUAGACGGAUCGGUGCGGCGGAGGACUUGACGGUGACCACAUGAUUAAUGAACUACUUUAAUAUCAGAUAUGGUAUUUAUCUUUUAUUUAUUUUCUGGGUUAUUUUUUAUGUAAAUUGGACUUUUGGGACUUUUGGUCGGUUUGCAUUUAUUCUGGAUUUUUAAUUGUUUUCAUGAGAUUUUGAACUGCAACGAAAA